CCUUCACCAAGGAUGAACGCUUGCAUGCCAUUCAUGCUCUUGUCAGCAAAAAUUGCAAGCCUUGGCUCUGGAAAGGUCUUUUCAGCUGUCACUUCCUCAAUAUCAGUCCCGACCUGCAACAAAUAAGAGUUAAAUUUGAGUGCUAUUCCCACAAGUCUCUGCUAAAGCACACUCUUGCUGUUCAUCAAAAUGAUCCAAGAUUUAUGGUCAAUUGUAGUGUAUGUGGCAAGUCAGCAACAAAAUGGGAGACUUUGAGGAAGCAUUUACGAAAGCAUGAUGUUCAGAUCGACGCAAGUGAUCCAAUUACAAGUGACCCAGAAUCUUGUACAACCACAAAUGAUGACGUUGACGACGAUUCACUACCAUCGGUUACAUCGGCUCAUCCCAAGUUUGACCGGGCCAUGUUUCUUCUUCGCAGCACUAGCAGUUUAGCACUUAAUUAUUCAAGCAUCGAACAUCUAUGCGAAUCAACACAGACACUAAUGGAGCAAACUGCAGGACAAAUGCAGCAGAAAAUGUUGUGUUGUCUUCAAGAAAAAGGCAUCACUGUGGAUGAGGUCGUGAAGAAGAUUGUCACAGAAUGUUGCAAUGUUGAUGAAAUGUUUAGCGGUUUGUCUUCACGAGCGUUAAGAGAGAAAUACUACAAACAGCAUCUCAAUUAUGUGGAACCAUCACCAUCACUUCUCAACAAGAACUUGGACUGGGUGAAUGACCACGGCAAGAUGCAUCUGAAGGAGGUUGAGGCUAA